rnacentral:tRNA from 1 species
GGCUCGGUAGCUUAGUUGGUAAAGCGCUCGUCUAGCAUACAAGAGUCCUGGGUUCAAAUCCCAGCCGAACAC